AGGGAUGGGUGUUGGGGUGGGGAGGAGGUUGGCAGUGGGAGCUCUAGGAGCAACCAGCCCAGCUUCCCCUAAUAGGGUGCAGGAUCAGAGACACCUUCAGCUGGGACCAGAACCCUGGACUGGGGACCCUGGGGAGGGAAAGUUGCCCUAAGUUAUGCAGGUGGCUUCACAGGGUUUGUCAGGCACAUUCUGCACUGUUCCCCCAGCUUAGAAUGUGGGCUCAAAGCCACAAAAGCCAACAUGGAGGGAGUCUCAGGCCAUUUGCCCUCCUGCUGCAGUAAUGAAUUUGGCCAAGGUUCAGGGUUCCCUUUAAAGGCCAAAUGUCCCCUUCCCCCAGUUAGUAUUGGAGCCAUUGAGAGAUACAGUAGUGAAUGAGCUGCUUUCUCUUAAGAUCUGGGAGAUCAAAACUGCCCCAUUGUCCCAGGUUCUGCCUGUCCCCGAGUUAGCAGUACCCACCACUUCCGUUUUCCCAUAAUCACACGAUUUCAUUUCUAUACGUUUAUUUGCACCUGCCCACUUCCGUUUCUGGUCACACCCUGUUCCUGCUUGCCUCACUUCCAGUUAGCCCCAUUUCCGUUUCCUGUCUCUUUGCCAGGCCUCUUGCCAUUCUCUUCCCUGCUUGGGCAGUGGGCUCCGAGGAGGUAGCUGCUGGUUGGAAAGUGUAAACAAGCAGUAAAACAAAGAGAAAAAUAAUCAUUUACAACAUAUCUGCUGUGAGAAAGAUGAUAGCUAAAGGCGUUUUCCAGCAUCACUGUGACAUCAGGCUUCUCACUUCUGGACCCAUAAACCCACCAUUCAUUUUUUUUGAAUACCAAUUAAAGUGUUUUCUCAAGAA